rnacentral:misc_RNA from 1 species
CGCCGAUAUACUGCUGGUGCUGUUUUGUCGAUGCAAGAAGAUAGAUCUGACAAAAUUUUAUCUUUACAUGGCCGAGAUGACAAGUCAUCUGGUGCCAAUGGCCAUGUGUCUAAUACCAUUGAGCCAAAUGGUACCCCUGAACAGUCUCCUCUUACACCAAAUGAUGAUUGUACUGAAGGUGCUGAAGAUGAUGAUGAUCCCUUCUCAAAAAGGAG